AGAGUUUGAUCCUGGCUCAGGAUGAACGUUGGCGGCGUGCCUAACACAUGCAAGUCGAACGAGCAGUCGGAUUCUUAGGAAGCCGGCGGGCGAGUGGCGCACGGGUGAGUAACACGUUGGUGACCUGCCCCGAAGCGGGGGAUAACUACUGGAAACGGUGGCUAAUACCGCAUGUGCUUAGUCAUUCAGUUGGCUAAGUAAAGCUCAGGCGCUUCGGGAGGGGCCUGCGGUCGAUUAGUUAGUUGGUGAGGUAAUGGCUCACCAAGACGAUGAUCGAUAGGGGGCGUGAGAGCGUGACCCCCCACACUGGAACUGAGACACGGUCCAGACUCCUACGGGAGGCAGCAGUGGGGAAUAUUGCACAAUGGGGGAAACCCUGAUGCAGCCAUGCCGCGUGUGUGAAGAAGGCCUUCGGGUUGUAAAGCACUUUCAGUGGGGAGGAAGGCCUGAUGGUUAAUACCCAUCAGGAUUGACGUUACCCACAGAAGAAGCACCGGCUAACUCCGUGCCAGCAGCCGCGGUAAUACGGAGGGUGCAAGCGUUAAUCGGAAUUACUGGGCGUAAAGCGCGCGUAGGCGGCUUGUUAAGCCAGAUGUGAAAUCCCCGGGCUCAACCUGGGAACUGCAUUUGGAACUGGAAGACUAGAGUGUAGAAGAGGGGGGUAGAAUUCCACGUGUAGCAGUGAAAUGCGUAGAUAUGUGGAGGAAUACCGAUGGCGAAGGCAGCCCCCUGGGCUAACACUGACGCUCAUGCACGAGAGCGUGGGGAGCAAACAGGAUUAGAUACCCUGGUAGUCCACGCCCUAAACGAUGUCAACUAGGUGUUGGGGAAGGAGACUUCUUUAGUACCGCAGCUAACGCGAUAAGUUGACCGCCUGGGGAGUACGGUCGCAAGAUUAAAACUCAAAGGAAUUGACGG
rnacentral:rRNA from 1 species